rnacentral:piRNA from 1 species
UGGCCUAGUUGGAUCAGGGUCUACCUUGA